rnacentral:rRNA from 1 species
CGGAGGGUGCAAGCGUUAUCCGGAUUUACUGGGUUUAAAGGGAGCGCAGGCGGAUUAGUAAGUUCAGUGGUGAAAGCCUUGAGCUUAACUCGAGAACUGCCAUUGAUACUAUUAGUCUUGAAUGUUGUUGAGGUUUGCGGAAUGGGUCAUGUAGCGGUGAAAUGCAUAGAUAUGACCCGGAACACCUAUUGCGAAGGCAGCAGGCUAAACAAAUAUUGACGCUGAGGCUCGAAAGCGUGGGGAUCAAACAGGAUUAGAUACCCUGGUAGUCCACGCCCUAAACGAUGAUUACUCGACAUACGUGAUAUGACAAUGUGUGUCUGAGCGAAAGCAUUAAGUAGUCCACCUGGGAAGUACGACCGCAAGGUUG